UACGUAGGGGGCAAGCGUUGUCCGGAUUUAUUGGGCGUAAAGAGCGUGUAGGCGGCUUGGUAGGUCCGCUGUGAAAACUCGAGGCUCAACCUCGAGAUGUCGGCGGAAACCACUUGGCUAGAGUCCGGAAGAGGAGAGUGGAAUUCCUGGUGUAGCGGUGAAAUGCGCAGAUAUCAGGAAGAACACCCGUGGCGAAAGCGGCUCUCUGGGACGGUACUGACGCUGAGACGCGAAAGCGUGGGGAGCGAACAGG
rnacentral:rRNA from 1 species